rnacentral:rRNA from 1 species
AGUGAACGCUGGCGGUAGGCCUAACACAUGCAAGUCGAACGGCAGCACAGUAAGAGCUUGCUCUUACGGGUGGCGAGUGGCGGACGGGUGAGGAAUACAUCGGAAUCUACUUUUUCGUGGGGGAUAACGUAGGGAAACUUACGCUAAUACCGCAUACGACCUACGGGUGAAAGCAGGGGAUCUUCGGACCUUGCGCGAUUGAAUGAGCCGAUGUCGGAUUAGCUAGUUGGCGGGGUAAAGGCCCACCAAGGCGACGAUCCGUAGCUGGUCUGAGAGGAUGAUCAGCCACACUGGAACUGAGACAAGGUCCAGACUACUACGGGAGGCAGCAGUGGGGAAUAUUGGACAAUGGGCGAAAGCCUGAUCCAGCCAUACCGCGUGGGUGAAGAAGGCCUUCGGGUUGUAAAGCCCUUUUGUUGGGAAAGAAAAGCAGCAGGUUAAUACCCCGCUGUUCUGACGGUACCCAAAGAAUAAGCACCGGCUAACUUCGUG